CCUACGGGCGGCAGCAGUGAGGAAUAUUGCUCAAUGGGCGCGAGCCUGAACCAGCCACGUAGCGUGAAUGAUGACUGCCCUACGAGUUUUAACCUUCUUUUAUAAAGGAAUAAAGUCAGUCACGUGUUCCUUUUUGUAUGUACUUUAUGUGUAAGGGUCGGCGAACUCCGUGCCAGCAGCCUCGGUAAUACGGUGGAUGAGAUGGUUAUCCGGAUUUAUGGUGUUUAAAGGGAGCGUAGAUGGGAUGUUAAGUCAAUUGUGAAAGUUUGGGGCUCAACCGUGAAAUUGCAAUUGAUACUGGCAGUCUUGAGUACAGUAGAGGUAGGCGGAAUGCGUGGUGUAGCGGUGAAAUGCUUAGAUAGCACGAAGAACACCGAUUGCGAAGGCAGCGUACUAAACUGCCACUGACAUUGAUGCUCGAAAGUGUGGGUAUCAAACAGGAUUAGAUACCCCAGUAGUC
rnacentral:rRNA from 1 species